UCAUCAGGGCAAGAAGAUUUUAGGAUUGACAGAUUGAGAGUUCUUUCUUGAUUGGUCUAGUGGUGGUGCAUGGCCGUUCUUAGUUGGUGGAGUGAUUUGUCUGGUUAAUUCCGUUAACGAACGAGACCUUAACCUGCUAACUAGUACCCUGAUCCUCAAUCGGGGUUACUUCUUAGAGGGACUAUGUGAUGUAAUCACAUGGAAGUUUGAGGCAAUAACAGGUCUGUGAUGCCCUUAGAUGUCCUGAGCUGCACGCGCGCUACAAUGACACAUUCAACGAGUAUUCCUGACCCGAAAGGGCUCGGGUAAUCUUUUUAGUGUGUGUCGUGAUAGGGAUAGAUCUUUGUAAUUAUGGAUCUUGAACGAGGAAUUCCUAGUAAGCGCACGUCAUCAGCGUGUGCUGAUUACGUCCCUGCAAAAAUGUACACACCGCCCG
rnacentral:rRNA from 1 species